rnacentral:rRNA from 1 species
AAAGAAACCAACAGGGAUUGCCCUAGUAACGGCGAGUGAAGCGGCAACAGCUCAAAUUUGAAAUCUGGCCCUCGGGUCCGAGUUGUAAUUUGUAGAGGAUGCUUUUGGUGAGGUGCCUUCCGAGUUCCCUGGAACGGGACGCCAUAGAGGGUGAGAGCCCCGUCUGGUUGGACACCAAACCUCUGUAAAGCUCCUUCGACGAGUCGAGUAGUUUGGGAAUGCUGCUCUAAAUGGGAGGUAUAUGUCUUCUAAAGCUAAAUACCGGCCAGAGACCGAUAGCGCACAAGUAGAGUGAUCGAAAGAUGAAAAGCACUUUGAAAAGAGAGUUAAAAAGUACGUGAAAUUGUUGAAAGGGAAGCGCUUAUGACCAGACUUGGGCUUGGUUGAUCAUCCUGGGUUCUCCCUGGUGCACUCUUCCAGUUCAGGCCAGCAUCAGUUCGCUGCGGGGGAUAAAAGUUUUGGGAAUGUGGCUCCCUCGGGAGUGUUAUAGCCCAUUGCAUAAUACCCUGCUCCGGACUGAGGUUCGCGCAUCUGCAAGGAUGCUGGCGUAAUGGUCAUCAGCGACCCGUCUUGAAACACGGACCAAGGAGUCGUCUUCGUAUGCGAGUGUUCGGGUGUUAAACCCCUACGCGUAAUGAAAGUGAACGCAGGUGAGAGCUUCGGCGCAUCAUCGACCGAUCCUGAUGUUCUCGGAUGGAUUUGAGUAAGAGCAUACGGGGCCGGACCCGAAAGAAGGUGAACUAUGCCUGUAUAGGGUGAAGCCAGAGGAAACUCUGGUGGAGGCUCGCAGCGGUUCUGACGUGCAAAUCGAUCGUCAAAUAUGGGCAUGGGGCGAAAGACUAAUCGUAUCCUUCUAGUAGCUGGUUUCCGCCGAAGUUUCCCUCAGGA